rnacentral:rRNA from 1 species
GUGCCAGCAGCCGCGGUAAUACGGAGGGUGCAAGCGUUAUCCGGAUUCACUGGGUUUAAAGGGUGUGUAGGCGGGCUGUUAAGUCAGUGGUGAAAUCUCCAGGCUCAACCUGGAAACUGCCAUUGAUACUAUCAGUCUUGAAUUUUGUUGAGGUAGGCGGAAUAUGUCAUGUAGCGGUGAAAUGCUUAGAUAUGACAUAGAACACCGAUUGCGAAGGCAGCUUACUAAACAAAUAUUGACGCUGAGGCACGAAAGCGUGGGGAUCAAACAGGAUUAGAUACCCUGGUAGUCC